rnacentral:misc_RNA from 1 species
AGUCUCUUCUAGACAUAACCCAAUAUAUUUAUUAUUACAACACUACACUACAAAGGGGUGCCUUCAACAAUAUGGGCAAGAGCCCUCUUACCAAUGGACAAGAAUCCCUUCCUUUUGAAUUUUAUUUCAUUUCUCUACCUUAGGCCGAAGCUUCUCUUUACUGCAAUGGGCAAAAACCUCUCAUCAAUGGGCAGAGCCAAAUCCUCAGCAAUUGGCAAAGCCACUCUCUAUAAUGGGCGACAGCCCCACUUCACGAGCUGAAAGCCAUACUCUUCAAUAGACGAAACCACUCUCCAUGAGCAAAAGCCUGUCUCAAUGGGUAAAGUGAAAUAACCAUUCUCCUAUCUAUAAUGUUAAUUCCCCCAAUCCUAAUCUAAUAAGGAAUUUCACUCAAUUUAUGAAUAACAUUAACAUAAGAAUUCUAACAUUUAUAGGAAAUAUUCAUCCAUUCUAUUAAAAAAUAUUUCUCCCACUUAAAUUAAAAAAAAAUCACUCGAAAGCCCACUAGAAUUUUGAGUCAACAACAAUAAAAUUUAUUAAUUGAAAAAAUUCUAAUAUUUCAAUUACUAUUUCAAAUAUAAUUGAAUUGAUGAUUGAAAAUUUCAAGAAUUACUAAGCGAACUGAUAAUCACAUUCCUACUUAUCGUGCCAAAUUUGGUCGGUUCGGUUUUUUAGUUAUAACUGAAUAAUGGACACCCCUACUUAUCCUGCCAAUUACACCGUACAUCUUCAUGUCUAUCACAUUUCUUUUUCAGUGACAAUUCAAAUAUUUCUUUGAUAUCCGCUGUUUCUAGUGCAUGUUGUUUGAAAGUUUGAGAAACAUUUUAUCUUCAUCAUCAUUGCAAAAGCAUCAUUUCCCAAUAGCAAGAAAUAGAACUCACCAAGUUCCGAUAUUACACGGCAAUGACAAAUAAGGUAUGAUCAGAUCAACAUAAGAAGAUCGCAACUAAACUAGUUUUUCUGGCAAAGGUAUAUGGUAAACUAUUUUGACUUCAAAGUCCAAUCUAUGGAAGCAGAAAUCAAAUUUCCAUUCACUUUUGCCACCUUCAGAAACUACAACAUCUAGCACGUUCAAAGGCUAUUUAUUGGAGAUAUAUAGUAACAUGUAAAAAAACAUGGAUACAGCAGAACUUCUAUAUAUUCCUAAAAUCAGAUUUUUGAAAAACUGAAAAAAAGGGGAAACAUUUUUGUCAGCUUGAAAGGUUCCAUGGCAUGCACAUCAUAUUCUCAAUAGCAAUUAUGCUAAAAAUCAUAGACUCAUCCAAAGAUAACGAAAUAGAAAUAACAAUUUAGCAGAACCAAUAAAUUUUAUCUAAACUUGACAAUUUCCAUAAAAAUCACUACGAAGUACUCAUUGAGCCUUGAAAAAUAUUGCAUACUUUAUAUUUCAAUUCUCAAAGCCAUUCGAAGCAAAAUUCUAUUUGAAGAAUAUACAUAGUCUACUUCAGCAACCAUGAACGAUAUCAAAGAAACUGAGAGAUGCGAGAAAGCCAUCAUAUAUAUAAUCCUUCACCAAAGAGCUCAAAGCUUUGUGUUGCUGAUUCUUCCUAUGCUUCAAACUGCAAACAGCUUGUCAUCUAUUCAUAUUCAACCAUUCUAUUGAUCACCAAGAAUCAGACUGAUACAUAUUUUCCUCUGACUAGUUUAUUGAUCUAGUUAAAAUUAAUGCUCAGAUGCCUAAAAAAGGCUUUUCUUUAAGAGGCCCCAGCAUAACAAAGCCUCAAUUUAAGUAUUGUAGCCAGCUACAGAAAACCAGGAUAUCAAAAUCAGUGUUAUUAAAGGCGAGUGAGGCAACGAGGCAAGGCACCAAGAGAGGUGAAGCGACCCUCUAGCGCCUCGCCUAGCACCGCCUAGCUAAGCAUUGAGAAGGCGAGCACCCCAACGACACAAGCGAGAGGCUCUAAGGUGCUGAGGCAACACCUCUGGGAAGAAACGUCAUUUUUUUUUUCUCCUUUCCUUUUUAAUUGUUUUUAACC